rnacentral:rRNA from 1 species
GGCGGCGUGCCUAACACAUGCAAGUCGUACGAGAAAGUUGGGCUUCGGCCGAUGAGUAAAGUGGCGCACGGGUGAGUAAUGCGUGGAUAAUCUGCCCUUUAGUUGGGAAUAACGUACCGAAAGGUGCGCUAAUACCUGAUAAUACUGCAUAACUACUGUUGUGUAGUCAAAGAAGGCCUCUGUUUACAAGCUUUUGCUGAAGGAUGAGUCCGCGUACCAUUAGCUGGUUGGUGGGGUAAUGGCCUACCAAGGCUACGAUGGUUAGCUGGUCUGAGAGGAUGAUCAGCCACACUGGAACUGAGACACGGUCCAGACUCCUACGGGAGGCAGCAGUGAGGAAUAUUGCGCAAUGGGGGCAACCCUGACGCAGCAACGCCGCGUAAGUGAGGAAGGUUUUCGGACCGUAAAGCUCUGUCGAGCGGGAAGAAAUGUAUCAUGGCUAAUAUCCAUGAUACUUGACGGUACCGCUAAAGGAAGCACCGGCUAACUCCGUG